GUUUGGAGAGCUGCUUCGUAGCUGUGGAAAGUCCUUGAAAAUGCAAAUGGAAUUGAUGUGAGUUGAUAUUAGGUCUGCUGGAUUGUUGGGAUUUCUCCCGAUGAGUUAUAGGUCGAACUUCCUGAUCCUGUGGCUCUGCGAUGAAAUUGACAGUGUGAUGGGGAGUACAAGCCAAUUUAAAAAAAUAGUUUCAGUUGAAUGUGUUGUUGGUCUAUUUGACACUUGUUUAGACAUUGGUAUUAAGAAUAAUUGGUACAAGUAAUUAUUUAUCAUAUAGUUAAUGCUUGUCUGGAUUUCCUGAAUAAAAAAUGUUACAGAACUAAACUGUUGUUCUGAUCUGUCCUCUCGAGGUUAUCAUGAAAGGUGAGGUCAGUCGGUGUCUUAAUGCAUGGAAGAGAUAAUUGGACCGAACAGUGUGUGUACCUCAAAACCCACUCUAACUCGCUGAAGAAGAGUGACAAAGGCGUUGAAUACGGCCCUGUCCACACCACUUCUACCGAGAGACCUGAGUCCUGAGCCAGCAACUUGUAUGCAGCGUACGAACUCUCAGGAGUGUGACAGGAGUCCACGUGGAGUGAGCAUGGGGAGAGAUCUGUUCCAAACUUCUCUUAUGUUGCUGGUGUACUGGUUGACAAAUAGAAUAGACAUAAUGGGUGGUAAAGGUGGUGGCGGCUCAGGUAGGACAUUGAAAUUGGGACAUUUUCAUGGGCCAUCCACUUUGCACUGUAAAGCUAUGUGAAAAAGACAAUGAAGAAGACGCCAGAAGAAUCGGUGCUUGAUGGGUGUGUGUGUGUGUGUGUGUGUGUGUGUGUGUGUGUGUGUGUGUGUGUGUGUGUGUGUGUGUGUGUGUGUGUGUGUGUGUGUGUGUGUGUGUGUGUGUGUGUGUGUGUGUGUGUGU
rnacentral:lncRNA from 1 species